CCUAAUUGAGCAAUGCUUUUGUUGUGUUUUGUAUCAGGCACACAGCAACAGGCAGGGUGGGUGUGCAUGCGAUGUGUAUUGGAGAAAGAGGCGCCUUAUAACGACAAACACAUUCAAGACCUUCUGACCACCACUGUUGCUGCCCAGUAUGAAACUUCCUACAUCCUGCAUGAGUGUUUAGACUGAAUAUAAACGCAGCGGCAGCAGCACCACUGAUUAUUCAGAUGGGAAUUUGUAUAAGUGUUAUACUUGGCUCCAGUCCUGCAAACAGUUGUGCCCACAAAAAACUUUACCCACACUAGGAGCUCCACGGAUCACAGCUUCUCUUUCAACCACUGAAUUAUAUGAAGUUACUCAGCAGUUAAAUUACUCAUAAGCAUAUGUGUUUGCUGUAUCAGGGCUUCUCCAUGUAAGAUCGAUCUUUAUAAUUAAUUUAAGACACCUAUACAUUUCUUUUUAGAUACAGGAAGUAAAUCCUUGGAAAGUUGUAAUAAACUUUGGAGCUGCA
rnacentral:lncRNA from 1 species